rnacentral:ncRNA from 1 species
CCCCGCGCAUAUCCGGGUUAUGAUAUGCACCUCCCUGUUGGACUUGGCCGGGCUUCGCGCCCGGCCUUUUUU